rnacentral:lncRNA from 1 species
AAUAUAUCAAUUAAAAACAAUAAGUUCAUACAACCCCAAGAAUAUAAAAUCAAAUAUAAAACCCGUGUCCCUUUGUUAGGGCUGCAUCCGGCCCUAGAGAGAAGAUCAGCCUUUCAUGGAGUGGUGGACGGCAGCAGCAGCACAGCAGCGGGCUCCCAUUCCUUCCUUCCUUCUCUUUCUCCUUUGAAAUAUUCCCAAAAUAGCCAAACCUCUCUCCCUCCUCUGUUUUUUUAUUCUCGUGGUAACUCCCUGAGAAGAGCCAAGCUGCUUCUUCUCCCGGUGGGGAACUUGGUCUCUGAGGAGAGAUGGGAUCAGCCCCCGGUGGGGGAAGAAGGAAUGCCCCCGCUCUGAUCAAAGUCUUCCCUUUAUAUAAGCGGCCCAUCUCCCUCUCUCUCUUCCUUGUGGCUGUUCCGGAUAAGGUUGUGGAUGCUUAUCUCUUCCGCGGAUGAUGGGAUGCUUGGACGUGGAACUUCACGCGGAAUAGGGGAUGCGGAUGAAGCUCACGGCUGGAUGUGGAUGAGAAGAAAUNNN